rnacentral:misc_RNA from 1 species
GAUGAAGAACGCAGCGAACUGCGAUAAGUAAUGUGAAUUGCAGAAUUCAGUGAAUCAUCGAGUCUUUGAACGCACAUUGCGCCCCCUGGCAUUCCGGGGGGCAUGCCUGUCCGAGCGUCAUUGCUGCCCAUCAAGCCCGGCUUGUGUGUUGGGUCGUCGUCCCCCCCGGGGGACGGGCCCGAAAGGCAGCGGCGGCACCGUGUCCGGUCCUCGAGCGUAUGGGGCUUUGUCACCCGCUCGACUAGGGCCGGCCGGGCGCCAGCCGACGUCUCCAACCAUUUUUCUUCAGGUUGACCUCGGAUCAGGUAGGGAUACCCGCUGAACUUAAGCAUAUCAAUAAGCGGAGGA